AUUGAACGCUGGCGGCAGGCUUAACACAUGCAAGUCGAGCGGGGUGAUGGUGCUUGCACUAUCACUUAGCGGCGGACGGGUGAGUAAUGCUUAGGAAUCUGCCUAUUAGUGGGGGACAACAUCUCGAAAGGGAUGCUAAUACCGCAUACGUCCUACGGGAGAAAGCAGGGGAUCACUUGUGACCUUGCGCUAAUCGAUGAGCCUAAGUCGGAUUAGCUAGUUGGUGGGGUAAAGGCCUACCAAGGCGACGAUCUGUAGCGGGUCUGAGAGGAUGAUCCGCCACACUGGGACUGAGACACGGCCCAGACUCCUACGGGAGGCAGCAGUGGGGAAUAUUGGACAAUGGGGGGAACCCUGAUCCAGCCAUGCCGCGUGUGUGAAGAAGGCCUUAUGGUUGUAAAGCACUUUGAGCGAGGAGGAGGCUCUUUUGGUUAAUACCCAGAUGAGUGGACGUUACUCGCAGAAUAAGCACCGGCUAACUCUGUGCCAGCCGCCGCGGUAA
rnacentral:rRNA from 1 species